CCUACGGGUGGCAGCAGUGAGGAAUAUUGGUCAAUGGGCGCUAGCCUGAACCAGCCAAGUAGCGUGCAGGAUGACUGCCCUAUGGGUUGUAAACUUCUUUUAUAUGGGAAUAAAGUGCAGUAUGUGUACUGCUUUGCAUGUACCGUAUGAAUAAGGAUCGGCUAACUCCGUGCCAGCAGCCGCGGUAAUACGGAGGGUGCAAGCGUUAUCCGGAUUUAUUGGGUUUAAAGGGUGCGUAGGCGGUAUGUCAAGUCAAGGGUGAAAUCCCCGCGCUCAACGUGGGAACUGCCUCUGAAACUGGCAAGCUUGAGUGUGUGAGAGGAUAGUGGAAUUCGAGGUGUAGGAGUGAAAUCCGUAGAUAUCUGGAGGAACAUCAGUGGCGAAGGCGACUAUCUGGCACAUAACUGACGCUGAGGAGCGAAAGCGUGGGUAGCAAACAGGAUUAGAUACCCGAGUAGUC
rnacentral:rRNA from 1 species